AUGAUUUCAUUUUUUCGUAGAAGUUUUUAGUUCAUCAUUCACUCUCCGCAAACAGUAUAUAAUGCCAAAUUGAACGAACAUACUCAUCAGUCAACGAGAAUAACUGAACCAGUAAACAUGAAGUUCUUCGUUUUGAUAUCAUUUUGUUUCGUCGCAGCUUUGGCUGCACCUCAUGACGAAAAAAUUCCUGAAAUGUUAUUAAUAAACGACAAUAUUGAAACAACUACGACAUGGGCAACUGAAGAAAAAUGGGAUGAAUUGCGCUGCCGAUCAGCUGCACAAUACUGGUGCCAUACACCACUAAUUCGACAUCCUGAAUGCAAACGAUAUUCACAUCUCAAUGAUCGGCGCCGCUUCAAUGCAUUAUUAAACCAAAAAUACGGAAAACAAAAACAUGAUGGUAAUUAAAAAUCAGUGAUUAUUUACCUAUCAUGCAACUGUAAUGAUUAACCUGGCGGCUUCUUGGAUUCCUUUUACUGUGACACACUCUGAAUUGUAGCAUUUACCGUCGAUCAAUUUCCGAAAUAAAACUUCAUGUGCAUGUUGUAAUUUCAAAACA